rnacentral:rRNA from 1 species
ACACGCAUGACACACUGCAUAUCAAUAAGCGGAGGAAAAGAAACUAACAAGGAUUCCCUUAGUAACGGCGAGUGAAGCGGGAAGAGCUCAAAUUUGAAAUCUCCAAGGUUUUACCUUGACGAAUUGUAGUUUAAAGAAGUGUUUUCUGUUGGAGUUUUGGUAAAAGUUCUUUGGAAUAGGACAUCAUAGAGGGUGAGAAUCCCGUAUUUGACCAUUAUUUCCAGCUGUGUGAUACACUUUCAAAGAGUCGGAUUGUUUGGGAAUGCAGUCCAAAAUGGGUGGUAAAUUUCAUCUAAAGCUAAAUAUUGGCGAGAGACCGAUAGCGAACAAGUACCGUGAGGGAAAGAUGAAAAGAACUUUGAAAAGAGAGUUAAACAGUACGUGAAAUUGUCAAAAGGGAAGCGUUUGACACCAGUGUUGUUUUCUCGAAAAUCAAUUAAAAAUGAUGGGAUUUUGUGUUGUAUUGACUUUAUCAGCUUUCUGCACUUUUUUCUUAUCUUUUUUAAUGCACUUUUCGUUUAACAAGUCAACAUCAAUUUCUUUUGUUGUAAAAGAGUCAUUGGAAGGUGGCUUUUUCUUCGGAAAAAGUGUUUAUAGCCUUUGGCUUCUGCAAUCGGAGAGAUUGAGGUCUGCAGCGUAGAUCCUUCGGGGUUAGAUACAUUUGUGCUAAGCUAUAGUUCUUUAUAGACAACUUGUUGACUAUAAUCAAUCCUGUAACUUACUCGCUUAUGCUAUUUUACCUACGCUUAGGAUGUUGAACUACUGAGACAUAGA